CAAUAAGCGGAGGAAAAGAAACCAACAGGGAUUGCCUCAGUAACGGCGAGUGAAGCGGCAACAGCUCAAAUUUGAAAUCUGGCCCCCCGGGUCCGAGUUGUAAUUUGCAGAGGAAGCUUUUGGCGAGGCGCCUUCCGAGUUCCCUGGAUACGGGACGCCAUAGAGGGUGAGAGCCCCGUACGGUCUGGUGCCGAGCCUCUGUAAAGCUCCUUCGACGAGUCGAGUAGUUUGGGAAUGCUGCUCUAAGUGGGAGGUAAACUCCUUCUAAAGCUAAAUACUGGCCAGAGACCGAUAGCGCACAAGUAGAGUGAUCGAAAGAUGAAAAGCACUUUGAAAAGAGAGUUAAAAAGCACGUGAAAUUGUUGAAAGGGAAGCGCUUGUGACCAGACUUGCGCCUGGCAGCUUAGCCGUCCUUCUGGGCGGUGUACUCUGCCGGCUCAGGCCAGCAUCAGUUUCGGGCAGGGGAGAAAUGCGGCGGGAAUGUGGCUCUUCGGAGUGUUAUAGCCUGCCGUUAUGCCCUGCCGGGGACUGAGGUUCGCGCUCUGCACGGAUGCUGGCGUAAUGGUUACUAUCGACCCGUCUUGAAACACGGACAAGGAGUCAUCCUCAUAUGCGAGUGUUAGGGUGCAAAACCCCUACGCGAAAUGAAAGUAAACGGAGGUGAGAGCUUCGGCGCAUCAUCGACCGAUCCUGAUGUUAUCGGAUGGAUUUGAGUAUGAGCAUAUGGGGCUGGACCCGAAAGAAGGUAAAUUCCUCACUAUUUCUUCUAGUAGUGGAAUAUAUAUAUAUAUAUAUAUAUAUAUGCUAACCGUGUUUUUUUCUAGGUGAACUAUGCUUGGAUAGGGUAAAGCCAGAGGAAACUCUGGUGGAGGCUCGCAGCGGUUCUGACGUGCAAAUCGAUCGUCAAAUCUGAGCAUGGGGGCGAAAGUAAGUUUCUAUCUUGUUCUCUUUCUUGGGGCAAAGCAGCGCUAACAAUUUUUUUUAGGACUAAUCGAACCUUCUAGUAGCUGGUUUCCGCCGAAGUUUCCCUCAGGAUAGCAGUGUUGAUCUCAGUUUUAUGAGGUAAAGCGAAUGAUUAGGGACUCGGGGGCGCUUAUUAGCCUUCAUCCAUUCUCAAACUUUAAAUAUGUAAGAAGCCCUUGUUACUUUAGUGAACGGGGGCAUUCGAAUGUACAACACUAGUGGGCCAUUUUUGGUAAGCAGAACUGGCGAUGCGGGAUGAACCGAUCGCGAGGAUAAGGUGCCAGAGUAGACGCUCAUCAGACACCACAAAAGGUGUUAUCACAUCUAGACAGCAGGACGGUGGCCAUGGAAGUCGGAAUCCGCUAAGGACUGUGUAACAACUCACCUGCCGAAUGUGA
rnacentral:rRNA from 1 species